rnacentral:rRNA from 1 species
UACAGGGGGGGCAAGCGUUGUUCGGAAUUACUGGGCGUAAAGGGCCAGUAGGCGGCCAACUAAGUCCGACGUGAAAUCCCCAAGCUUAACUUGGGAACUGCGUCGGAUACUGGAUGGCUUGAAUUCGGGAGAGGGAUGCAGAAUUCCAGGUGUAGCGGUGAAAUGCGUAGAUAUCUGGAGGAAUACCGGUGGCGAAGGCGGCAUCCUGGACCGGCAUUGACGCUGAGGAGCGAAAGCAUGGGGAGCGAACAGG